rnacentral:rRNA from 1 species
UACGGGGGGAGCAAGCGUUGUUCGGAUUUUUACUGGGCGUAAAGGGCGCGUAGGCGGUCAGCACAAGUCAGUUGUGAAAUCUCCGGGCUUAACUCGGAAAGGUCAACUGAUACUGUGCGACUAGAGUGCGGAAGGGGCAACUGGAAUUCUCGGUGUAGCGGUGAAAUGCGUAGAUAUCGAGAGGAACACCUGCGGCGAAGGCGGGUUUGCUGGGCCGACACUGACGUUGAUGCGCGAAAGCCAGGGGAGCGAACGGG